rnacentral:rRNA from 1 species
UGGGGAAUCUUGCGCAAUGGGGGGAACCCUGACGCAGCGACGCCGCGUGCGGGACGGAGGCCUUCGGGUCGUAAACCGCUUUCAGCAGGGAAGAGUCAAGACUGUACCUGCAGAAGAAGCCCCGGCUAACUACGUGCCAGCAGCCGCGGUAAUACGUAGGGGGCGAGCGUUAUCCGGAUUCAUUGGGCGUAAAGCGCGCGUAGGCGGCCCGGCAGGCCGGGGGUCGAAGCGGGGGGCUCAACCCCCCGAAGCCCCCGGAACCUCCGCGGCGUGGGUCCGGUAGGGGAGGGUGGAACACCCGGUGUAGCGGUGGAAUGCGCAGAUAUCGGGUGGAACACCGGUGGCGAAGGCGGCCCUCUGGGCCGAGACCGACGCUGAGGCGCGAAAGCUGGGGGAGCGAACAGG